AGAUUGCAGCCAGAAAUGAACCAGAGGAUCUUGCUUCCAAUGUGAACUUAAAUGUAGGAAAAAACCUUCUGGAACAGAAUUCCUGAAGUCAAUGGCAGAACCCUCUACAGAGCUCCUUAGCUGGAUUUAGAAUUUCUGCUCUCAGAUCAAUGCAGAGAUGUUUUGUGCCCAUAAAGUAAAAUGAUGAAUGGAUUUUCUGGCAGAUUUCUGAGUAGUGUCUGCUGAAGCUGGGCAACAAUGCUCCUUU